UGCAAUGAUGAUGUUAUUGAAUUAAUCUCGUUAAUCUGAUUAUUUCUGAGGAAAAUCUUUCUAUCCAUUCUAAAUCCACUGAGC